rnacentral:rRNA from 1 species
AGAGUUUGAUCCUGGCUCAGGAUGAACGCUAGCUACAGGCUUAACACAUGCAAGUCGAGGGGCAGCAUUGACCUAGCAAUAGGUUGAUGGCGACCGGCGCACGGGUGAGUAACACGUAUCCAACCUACCGGUUAUUCCGGGAUAGCCUUUCGAAAGAAAGAUUAAUACCGGAUAGUAUAACGAGAAGGCAUCUUCUUGUUAUUAAAGAAUUUCGAUAACCGAUGGGGAUGCGUUCCAUUAGUUUGUUGGCGGGGUAACGGCCCACCAAGACAUCGAUGGAUAGGGGUUCUGAGAGGAAGGUCCCCCACAUUGGAACUGAGACACGGUCCAAACUCCUACGGGAGGCAGCAGUGAGGAAUAUUGGUCAAUGGACGAGAGUCUGAACCAGCCAAGUAGCGUGAAGGAUGACUGCCCUAUGGGUUGUAAACUUCUUUUAUAUGGGAAUAAAGUGAGCCACGUGUGGCUUUUUGUAUGUACCAUACGAAUAAGGAUCGGCUAACUCCGUGCCAGCAGCCGCGGUAAUACGGAGGAUCCGAGCGUUAUCCGGAUUUAUUGGGUUUAAAGGGAGCGUAGGCGGACUAUUAAGUCAGCUGUGAAAGUUUGCGGCUCAACCGUAAAAUUGCAGUUGAUACUGGUCGUCUUGAGUGCAGUAGAGGUAGGCGGAAUUCGUGGUGUAGCGGUGAAAUGCUUAGAUAUCACGAAGAACUCCGAUUGCGAAGGCAGCUUACUGGACUGUAACUGACGCUGAUGCUCGAAAGUGUGGGUAUCGAAAACWGGAUUAGAUACCCUGGUAGUCCACACAGUAAACGAUGAAUACUCGCUGUUUGCGAUAUAC